rnacentral:sRNA from 19 species
GAGGUUUGCAAUUCGGAUUCCCGAGAGGAUUCACUUUUAAAGUGGAGAAGCCUUGUAACCGAAAAUUUAAAGGGGGAACAAAGUAAUG